UACAGAGGUCCCAAGCGUUGUUCGGAUUCACUGGGCGUAAAGGGUGCGUAGGUGGCUUGUCAAGUUUGAUGUGAAAGCUCCGGGCUCAACCCGGAAAUGGCAUUGAAUACUGAUGGGCUGGAGGGUUGGAGGGGAGACUGGAAUACUUGGUGUAGCAGUGAAAUGCGUAGAUAUCAAGUGGAACACCGGUGGCGAAGGCGAGUCUCUGGACAACUCCUGACACUGAGGCACGAAAGCUAGGGGAGCAAACAGG
rnacentral:rRNA from 1 species